UAUUGCACAAUGGGGGAAACCCUGAUGCAGCGACGCCGCGUGAAGGAAGAAGUAUCUCGGUAUGUAAACUUCCAUCAGCAGGGAAGAAAAUGACGGUACCUGACUAAGAAGACCCAGCUAACUACGUGCCAGCAGCCGCGGUAAUACGUAGGGGGCAAGCGUUAUCCGGAUUUACUGGGUGUAAAGGGAGCGUAGACGGAAGAGCAAGUCUGAUGUGAAAGGAUAGGGCUUAACCCCAGGACUGCAUUGGAAACUGUUGUUCUAGAGUGCCGGAGAGGUGAGCGAAAUUCCUAGUGUAGCGGUGAAAUGCGUAGAUAUUAGGAGGAACACCAGUGGCGAAGGCGGCUUACUGGACGGUAACUGACGUUGAGGCUCGAAAGCGUGGGGAGCAAACA
rnacentral:rRNA from 1 species